UACGUAGGGUGCAAGCGUUGUCCGGAAUUAUUGGGCGUAAAGAGCUCGUAGGCGGUCUGUCGCGUCGGCUGUGAAAUCCCGAGGCUCAACCUCGGGUCUGCAGUCGAUACGGGCAAACUAGAGUAUUGCAGGGGAGACUGGAAUUCCCGGUGUAGCGGUGAAAUGCGCAGAUAUCAGGAGGAACACCCGUGGCGAAAGCGGCUCUCUGGAACGGUACUGACGCUGAGACGCGAAAGCGUGGGGAGCGAACAGG
rnacentral:rRNA from 1 species